rnacentral:lncRNA from 10 species
CAGGAAGAGGAGGAUUCCCCUGACACAAGGCUGCAGGGCUCACAAGCACUGACAAUUCACUCAUCAGUUUCAGGACCCAUGAAGACAGAGCCACAGAUUCCCCUGAACAGAAUGGCAAUUUUCGUGUGGUGUUAAUUUCCGUGGAAGAAGAAAAGGCUCGACUCUCUGUCCUAUUUUUCAUGAAUACUGGAAGUAGGGAAUAAACCUGGAGUCUCACGGGUGAAAAGAGACAUUUCCAUAUCACCAGACCACAAACGUGGGUGUUGAUUCUAAGGAUACCCCCAAUAAACAUCUUUCGUGCUAAAGCCCAUUCCAGAAUUUACUUCCCAGCUAUCUUUGAUGUUCAUAUUGUCAGAGGUGGUGGCCGCUGAAACAGGCAAAGACAUGGAGCAUAUCUUGGGUCCAGGUAAAGGAGGUGGGUGCACACAAGUGAAAAGAUGUUGCUGAAGUCACGUGGCUUCAAGCAGUAGAGCUGACUGUCCUCUAGUCCAGUUGUCCCUACAGGAUAAAAGCUUCUCUCCAUUACAGAGACCUUGGGAGUCCAGAGGAAGGUCUUUUUACCAUCAGCAUUCUCUACUGUGUUCAAUGACUGUCAGCCAAAGAUGGCCAGGUUCUCUACUGUGAUGGUGAAUUUUAUGUGUCAAUUUGACUGGACCAUGGGAUGCCCAGCUUUCCUUCAGAAAGAAAUGCAUUCAAAGAACCUACAUUCACAACAUAAAGAAAUAAAGCCUGCACCUACAGAUCUACACACAUGCCCAUGCACAUGCAGGAAGUGUUCAUCUAAGACUGGACCUUUUAGAAGAAAGCUGGCAUACAUUCGUGAAGGCAUGGGCUUCCAGGCAUGUCAUCUUCACUCACGAAGCACACACAAGACCGCCAAGCAUUAAGAUUCUCCUGUGGAGCCAGGCUACAAUCCUUUAAAUGAAGACAGACAGCUAGGUGGCUGCAGCCCAGCGCUACACCUCACCCCUCCCUCAGUGUCAUGCAGAAAAAAUGUAUUCAGAACUCAGAAGUGAAGUUGUGCAAAUCCAUCAUUGACACUAGCUUCAAGGUUACCUCGGGGGAGCAGAAUGUACCCCUGCCAGAGAGCUGGAUAGAUGAUGAUGGGGACAGAAAUUCUGGGGGAGUUGUAAAUGGCAGCCACUGCCUCUAUAGGAAACCCAAAGGGAACACAGCAGAAGAGGAGGUGGUGGAGGAGCCACUGCCCUCUCGAAGGGUUCAAUGUCAUUCUGCAGACACAACCAAAUAACUUUUUCUUCCCUGCUGCUCCUCCAUUUGAAAUGACAGCCCCGAGCUCGCUUUUUCCUUGAUUGUGUAACUCUGAUUACAGACAAGGCCAAGGCAAUCCCAGGGCAUUACUACAAAGCUAAGGGGUCCCCAAAGAACUAAAGAGUCAGCUCCACAAAAAUCCCGAUUCCUAGCAUGAAACUGAAAUAUGAAACCAAACGGGCAUAGAAAAGGUAUGUGCAUUCGAAUCACAUAGCAGUGACUGGAGUCCUGAGCUGUGUCUGAAGACUGUGAGAUCACGUUUGGAGCUGCUGAUUGGUUUUCAGUGAUGGCCCUGUUGCACAGUGCCGUGAGACUUAGCUCCAUGGCCAAAGACGAUGGUAUCCCCUAGGAGCCCUGUGAGGUUGCUGCUGUUCUCUUAAGACACCAGGUAGCCAUCUGAUCCUCCCUGAGCAAACUAACUGGGCAGACAGGUUUAUUAAACCUCUGUUGGUCCGACUUACAUGAAACAAGAGAGUUAUUUUGUUGUUGUUGUUUUGUUUUGUUUUAAAUUAAACCUGUCUUUGGAGCCUCCUGCUCUUAGUUUACAAGUCUUCUUUGCACACUCUAAUAUUUUAAGAAGCAGCAAACAUUAACUGAGGGUCUA